rnacentral:rRNA from 1 species
UAGCCCACGGGAGGCAGCAGUGAGGAAUAUUGGCCAAUGGGCGGUAGCCUGAACCAGCCAAGUAGCGUGAAGGAUGUAGGUUCUAUGGAUUGUAAACUUCUUUUAUAAAGGAAUAAAGUGAGGCACGUGUGCCUUUUUGUAUGUACUUUAUGACUAAGGAUCGGCUAACUCCGUGCCAGCAGCCGCGGUAAUACGUAGGAUCCGAGCGUUAUCCGGAUUUAUUGGGUUUAAAGGGAGCGUAGAUGGGUUGUUAAGUCAGUUGUGAAAGUUUGCGGCUCAACCGU